CCUACGGGAGGCAGCAGUGAGGAAUAUUGGUCAAUGGGCGGGAGCCUGAACCAGCCAAGCCGCGUGAGGGAAGAAGGUACAGCGUAUCGUAAACCUCUUUUGUCAGGGAACAAAGGCGGGGACUAGUCCCCGGAUGAGGGUACCUGAAGAAAAAGCAUCGGCUAACUCGGUGCCAGCAGCCGCGGUAAUACGGAGGAGGCGAGCGUUAUCCGGUUUUAUGGGGUUUAAAGGGUGGGCAGGCGACCUGUUAAGUCAGCGGUAAAAGCCCGGGGCUCAACCCCGGCGAGCCGUUGAAACUGGCGGGCUGGAGUGGGAGAGAAGUACGCGGAAUGCGUGGUGUAGCGGUGAAAUGCGUAGAUAUUGCGCAGAACCCCGAUUGCGAAGGCAGCGUACCGGCUCCACACUGACGCUGGGGCACGAAAGCGUGGGUAUCGAACAGGAUUAGAUACCCUUGUAGUC
rnacentral:rRNA from 1 species